GUACGGAGGAUCCAAGCGUUAUCCGGAAUCAUUGGGUUUAAAGGGUCCGUAGGCGGUUUGGUAAGUCAGUGGUGAAAGCCCAUCGCUCAACGGUGGAACGGCCAUUGAUACUGCCAGACUUGAAUUAUUAGGAAGUAACUAGAAUAUGUAGUGUAGCGGUGAAAUGCUUAGAGAUUACAUGGAAUACCAAUUGCGAAGGCAGGUUACUACUAAUGGAUUGACGCUGAUGGACGAAAGCGUGGGUAGCGAACAGG
rnacentral:rRNA from 1 species